AUUGAACGCUGGCGGCAGGCCUAACACAUGCAAGUCGAGCGGUAGAGAGAAGCUUGCUUCUCUUGAGAGCGGCGGACGGGUGAGUAAUGCCUAGGAAUCUGCCUGAUAGUGGGGGAUAACGUCCGGAAACGGACGCUAAUACCGCAUACGUCCUACGGGAGAAAGUGGGGGCUCUUCGGACCUCACGCUAUCAGAUGAGCCUAGGUCGGAUUAGCUAGUUGGUGGGGUAAAGGCUCACCAAGGCGACGGUCCGUAACUGGUCUGAGAGGAUGAUCAGUCACACUGGAACGGAGACACGGUCCAGGCUCCUACGGGAGGCAGCAGUGGGGAAUAUUGGACAAUGGGCGAAAGCCUGAUCCAGCCAUGCCGCGUGUGUGAAGAAGGUCUUCGGAUUGUAAAGCACUUUAAGUUGGGAGGAAGGGUCGUUACCUAAUACGUGACGAUUUUGACGUUACCGACAGAAUAAGCACCGGCUAACUCUGUGCCAGCCGCCGCGGUAACAC
rnacentral:rRNA from 1 species